rfam:Rhizobiales bacterium 62-17 SCNpilot_cont_300_bf_scaffold_185, whole genome shotgun sequence.
GCGGGGCUGCGGAGUACGUGCGGAUAUGUAUUCCCGGGGCCUUAUCGAUCUCUAAGGGAGCUGUUCCUGGCCUCGUCCGUGGACUUGGUCACACGGCGCCCACCUACGUUGUAGGUUCCCGGGAUCGAUGAUCUCACGGCUCAGGCGGCUCCGCG